GUAAAUUUGUUUAAAGAACCAGAUGCCA
rnacentral:piRNA from 1 species